GGAGGGUAUAGCUCAGUGGUAGAGCGUGUGCUUAGGCUGCACAGAGUCCUGGGUUCAAUCCCCAGUAUCUCCA
rnacentral:tRNA from 1 species